UGACAGUGGGAAGACGGGAGUCUUCUGUUACAGGCGGGAGCUGGCGACCGCAGAGUGUCGAGUGCCCCACGGAGCGUGCAGUGCUGAGAGCUGAGAACGAACUUGGUCAGGCGGAGAUGCUUGAGGUUCUAUUGCAUCUUUGAAUGUGACUUAUGAACUGACCCAGCGGUAAUUGACAAUACCUGGCAGUGCUCGUGGAGACUGCCCUGGGGUACUCCAGUUGACCUGUCCGGUGACCUGACUUUGGACGACCGUGGAGACCUCCGUCAGCCUGGAAGAGUGCGGCUGCAUCACGAGCCAGCAGGAUGUGCGCACAGAGGCGCCCCUCAGCGACAGCAGAGAUGUCAGCCCGGUGGAGGCGCGGCGGCUCUUCACGGCCGAGGAGGUGUGCCUGGUGCUGCUUGUGCUGCUCCUCUGGGUGGCGGCUAUCGCUCUCUUCAUCAACCGCUGGGGCAAGAUCCGGAUGCUGGAGCCCUGUCUGCCCUACAAGCUGGCGACACUUGGAGCAGAAACGCCAAUGACAGUGCAGAACUCGCGGAUGAACUCCACUGAAGAGGAGCCGGCAACGUCCCCGAGCUGUCGACGUCAGUUGUCCCUAAUGACCCCUGCCGGCACCCAGCUGUCGGCACCGCGCCGGGUCAAGUCGGCCGUUGAUCUCGUGUCGUUGGUGAUGGCUGAGCAGCU